rnacentral:rRNA from 1 species
UACGUAGGGACCGAGCGUUGUCCGGAAUCAUUGGGCGUAAAGAGCGUGUAGGCGGCCAACUAAGUCCUGCGUGAAAUCUCGGGGCUCAACCCCGAGCGGUCGUGGGAAACUGGUUGGCUAGAGUGCGGGAGAGGAGAGUGGAAUUCCUGGUGUAGCGGUGAAAUGCGCAGAUAUUAGGAAGAACACCCGUGGCGAAGGCGGCUCUCUGGAACGCAACUGACGCUGAGACGCGAAAGCGUGGGGAGCAAACAGG